rnacentral:rRNA from 1 species
GAUCAUGGCUCAGGACGAACGCUGGCGGCGUGCUUAACACAUGCAAGUCGAACGCUGAAGCCUGGCUUUUGUUGGGUGGAUGAGUGGCGAACGGGUGAGUAACACGUGAGUAACCUGCCCCCUUCUUUGGGAUAACGCCCGGAAACGGGUGCUAAUACUGGAUAUUCACUGGUCUUCGCAUGGGGGUUGGUGGAAAGGGUUUUCUGGUGGGGGAUGGGCUCGCGGCCUAUCAGCUUGUUGGUGGGGUGAUGG